ensembl:lncRNA
UGAUGAGUGAGACUUUCUUGUCCUAGCAGUGUGGGGUUGAGCUGGGGGUCAGAUCUGUGCUGCAGUGAGAAGGAAGAGACAGAAGACCCGGUGACCUGGAAGCUUAGAGGUAGCCAGCUCAACUUACUGAGAAAUGUGAAGCUGCAUGAACCCCUCCAUCAGCAGAAACGCGCUGUCUGGGCAGGUGGUCCCACUGGCACAUCCAGAUAUGAAUUUUCUUGGCAAGAUGCAAAUGAGAUUCCUUUCCUGUUUUCCAACCCAUUCUCCUCUGCUGUGUCUUGCAGUACUUCUCAUCCUGAAAUGUGUUGCAUUCUUUGCAGGUUCUCCAAGUCCCAUGGAAGACAUCACUGGUAGUAAACCGUGCCCUUGUAUGGGCUUAAGACAAUGCUACGUGUGCUCAAUGAUACCUGUGCAGACCUCAGCCGUGGGGGAAGUGAAGUGGCCUCCCCUUCAGGGAGGGGCAGUCCAGGAGAAGGGAGCAGAGCAGUGAGCACUGCAGGAUGAGAGCACUGCCUUACCUGCAGGUGGACCAGCAGAUGGAAGCCACCCCAGAGCUGGUGCAGGGAAUUACAAGGAGGUGGACGUGGUGCUUCUGCUUUGCUCACCUGCAGCUCGCCCUCCUGGACCACGCUCUGUGCUGUUGAACUCCACUCACCACCCUCCCCUGCUGCUAAUCUCUCUUCUCAGGCGUGGGUUUGAUCUCGGCGGCGAGCCGCCCGCCCGGCCGCUCUCUGUCUGCG